GCCCCGGUAGCUCAGUGGACAGAGCGGCGGCCUUCUAAGCCGUUGGUCGGGGGUUCGAAUCCUCCCCGGGGCGCCA
rnacentral:tRNA from 1 species